rfam:Triticum aestivum genome assembly, contig: Triticum_aestivum_CS42_TGACv1_scaffold_321484_4BL
AUUAUACUCCCUCCGUCCGAAAAUACUUGUCAGAGAAAUGGAUAGAAAUGGAUGUAACUAGAACUAAAAUACGUCUAGAUACAUCCAUUUUUCCAACAAGUAUUUCUGGACGGAGGGAGUAUAUG